UUUAAUUGAAGAGUUUGAUCAUGGCUCAGAUUGAACGCUGGCGGCAGGCCUAACACAUGCAAGUCGAGCGGCAGCACAGAGAAACUUGUUUCUCGGGUGGCGAGCGGCGGUACGGGUGAGUAAUGCCUGG
rnacentral:rRNA from 1 species